ACCUGAUCCUGCUUAGGGCCGGGGUGCGGAGGCCUCUGAGAGACCGCCUACGGAGUCAGGAAAAGGGGAAUUUUGAAAGACUGCUUCUGCACCCUGAAGGGUGGGACGAUGAGGAAGCAAUUUUAUUCCUGACAGCUUUGAAUAACACUGGACCAGAUGGACUUAACAGAUAUAUUCAGAACAUUUCAUCCUAAAGCAGCAGAAUACACGUUCUUCUGCAGUGCACAUGGAACAUUCUCCAGAAUAGAUCACAUACUGGGACACAAAUCAGCCCUCAACAAGUACAAAAAGAUCAAGAUCAUACCGUGCAUAUUUUCAGACCACAACGCCAUGAAACUCGAAGUCAACCACCAGAAAAAAUUUGGAAAGAUAACAAAUACUUGGAGACUAAAGAACAUCCUACUAAAGAACGAAUGGGCUAACCAAGAAGUGAAAGAGGAAAUUAAAAAGUACAUGGAAGCCAAUGAUAAUGAUAACACUGCAGCACAAAACCUCUGGGAUGAGCAAAGGUGGUCAUAAGAGGGAAGUAUAUAGCAAUCCAGGCCUUCCUAAAGAGGGAAGAAAGGUCUCAGAUACACAACCUAACCUUACACCUCAAAGAGCUGGAAAAAGAACAGCAAAAUAAAACCCAAAACCAGCAGAAGACAGGAAAUAAUAAAGAUUAGGACAGAAAUCCAUGCUAUCAAACCCCAAAACAGUAGAACAGAUCAAUGAAACCAGAAACUGGUUCUUUGACAGCAUUAACAAAAUUGAUAAACCUCUAGCCAGUUUGAUCAAAAAGAAAAAGAAAAGGACCCAAAUAAAUAAAAUCAAGAAUGAAAGAAGAGAGAUCACAUCCAACACUGCAGAAAUACAAACAAUAAUAAGAGAAUAUUAUGAGCAACUAUACACCAAUAAAAUGGGCAACCUGGAAGAAAUGGACAAAUUCCUAGAAACAUAAACUACCAAAACUGAAACAAGAAGAAAUAGAAAAUUUGAACACACCCAUAACCAGUAAAGAAAUCGAA